rnacentral:rRNA from 1 species
AUGGAGGUUGACUAUCAGGAUUUGGUUAACCUCUGGAAGUCGCGCGGCAAUUCCAGAUAUGUUGCAGCGCCUAUCUUGAUCGAGUUAGAGGAGAUUAGUGCUAGUUUCGCUUCUUUUUCGGUUACCCAUGUCAAUAGGGAGGUAAAUGUUCCGGCCCACCAAUGUGCACAUCUAGCCUGCACAUCAGAGUGGACGGAGAGUUGGCUCGAUGUAAGCCCUGAGUUCCUUCAUCCUUGCCUACGAGCGGACUGUAACACCAUGAUUAUCAGUUAA